rnacentral:rRNA from 1 species
CUGGCGGCAAGCUUAACACAUGCAAGUCGAACGGAUUAUUCUUUAUAGCUUGCUAUAGAGAAUAGUUAGUGGCAGACGGGUGAGUAAUGCAUAGGAAUCUACCUAGUAGUAUGGGAUAGCCACUAGAAAUGGUGGGUAAUACUGUAUAAUCCCUGCGGGGGAAAGAUUUAUCGCUAUUAGAUGAGCCUAUGUUAGAUUAGCUAGUUGGUAGGGUAAAGGCCUACCAAGGCGAUGAUCUAUAGCUGGUCUGAGAGGAUGAUCAGCCACACUGGAACUGAGAUACGGUCCAGACUCCUACGGGAGGCAGCAGUGGGGAAUAUUGGACAAUGGGCGCAAGCCUGAUCCAGCUAUGCCGCGUGAGUGAGGAAGGCCUUAGGGUUGUAAAACUCUUUCAGUAGGGAAGAUAAUGACGGUACCUACAGAAGAAGUCCCGGCAAACUCCGUGCCAGCAGCCGCGGUAAUACGGAGGGGGCAAGCGUUGUUCGGAAUUAUUGGGCGUAAAGGGCAUGUAGGCGGUUCGGUAAGUUAAAGGUGAAAUGCCAGGGCUUAACCCUGGAGCUGCUUUUAAUACU